UCAUGUUGUCCUUUAUUCAGAAAUCAAUGGAUGCAUUGGAAAUUAAGAAUUGGUACAACUUGACAGCUGAAUUCAAUUUUUUUUGCAUUUCAAAAUUCAUUCCCCUUUUCAAUUCCCAAAUUUUCCCUAUAUAUGUUGGAGAGAGAUGCAGAAAAAUUCUCAUAGAUCUUAGGGUAGCAAAGAGAGAGGAAACAGUUUUCUUCUUGUUGCAAUAUUUAGUCAUGGUGUAGCUAGCUCCGUUCGCUCCCUACAACAAAGAAGAUGAUGAUGUUAAACAACAACAAGAAGAAGAAGCAGAGCAUGACAAAGUCAUCCAUUUUAAAUCGUUUAUGUUAUUCCUUCCACAACUAAUUAUCGACGAAUGGACUAUAUAACCUUUUUUUUAUAAUCUAGUUAGUUGCUUAUGAAUAAAGAAUAACAAGGCCUUGCUCGGCUGCAGUUGUACUUUUUUCAUGUAUUCUUAUUGAAUAAAACAAUAACAAGGCCUUGUUCGACUU